rnacentral:rRNA from 1 species
GCCCAGACUCCUACGGGAGGCAGCAGUGGGGGAUAUUGCACAAUGGGGGGAACCCUGAUGCAGCGACGCCGCGUGGGUGAAGGAGUGCUUCGGCAUGUAAAGCUCUAUCAGCAGGGAAGAAGAUGACGGUACCUGACUAAGAAGCCCUGGCUAACUACGUGCCAGCAGCCGCGGUAAUACGUAGGGGGCAAGCGUUAUCCGGAUUUACUGGGUGUAAAGGGAGCGUAGACGGCGAUGCAAGCCAGAUGUGAAAGCCCGGGGCUCAACCCCGGGACUGCAUUUGGAACUGUGUGGCUGGAGUGUCGGAGAGGCAGGCGGAAUUCCUAGUGUAGCGGUGAAGUGCGUAGAUAUUAGGAGGAACACCAGUGGCGAAGGCGGUCUGCUGGACAGCAACUGACGCUGAGGCGCGAAAGCGUGGGGAGCAAACAGGAUUAGAUACCCCAGUAC